rnacentral:rRNA from 1 species
AAUUUUGGACAAUGGGGGAAACCCUGAUCCAGCCAUCCCGCGUGUAUGAUGAAGGCCUUCGGGUUGUAAAGUGCUGUUGGCAGAGAAGAAAAGGUACCUCCUAAUACGAGGUACUGCUGACGGUAUCUGCAGAAUAAGCAACGGCUAACUACGUGCCAGCAGCAGCGGUAAUACGUAGGGUGCAAGCGUUAAUCGGAAUUACUGGGCGAAAAGCGUGUGUAGAGGGUUCGGAAAGAAAGAUGUGAAAACCCAGGGCUAAACCUUGGAACUGCAUUUUUAACUGCCGAGCUAGAGUAUGUCAGAGGGGGGUAGAAUUCCACGUGUAGCAGUGAAAUGCGUAGAUAUGUGGAGGAAUACCGAUGGCGAAGACAGCCCCCUGGAAUAAUACUGACGCUAAGACACGAAAGCGUGGGGAGCAAACAG